UGGGGAAUAUUGGACAAUGGGGGCAACCCUGAUCCAGCCAUGCCGCGUGAGUGAUGAAGGCCUUAGGGUUGUAAAGCUCUUUUACCAGGGAUGAUAAUGACAGUACCUGGAGAAUAAGCUCCGGCUAACUCCGUGCCAGCAGCCGCGGUAAUACGGAGGGAGCUAGCGUUGUUCGGAAUUACUGGGCGUAAAGCGCGCGUAGGCGGGCUAGCAAGUUGGGGGUGAAAUCCCGGGGCUCAACCUCGGAACUGCCUCCAAAACUGCUAGCCUAGAGGAUGUGAGAGGAUAGUGGAAUUCCGAGUGUAGAGGUGAAAUUCGUAGAUAUUCGGAAGAACACCAGUGGCGAAGGCGACUGUCUGGCACAUUUCUGACGCUGAGGUGCGAAAGCGUGGGGAGCAAACAGGAUUAGAUACCCGGGUAGUCC
rnacentral:rRNA from 1 species